rnacentral:tRNA from 1 species
GGGAGGGUGGCUCAGUGGUAGAGUGCUUGCCUUGCAUGCAUGAGGCCCUGGGUUCAAUUCCUCAGCACCACCU